rnacentral:rRNA from 1 species
UCUGGUAAUGAUGGCGAAAUGGUCACACCUGUUCCCAUACCGAACACAGAAGUUAAGCAUUUCAGCGGCGAUUAUAGCUAUGCACGCCAUAGUGAAACUAGCUCGUUGCCAGGU